AUUGAACGCUGGCGGCAGGCCUAACACAUGCAAGUCGAGCGGAGGAAGGGAGCUGGCUCCUGGAUUCAGCGGCGGACGGGUGAGUAAUGCCUAGGAAUCUGCCUGGUAGUGGGGGAUAACGUCCGGAAACGGGCGCUAAUACCGCAUACGUCCUGAGGGAGAAAGGGGGGGAUCUUCGGACCUCACGCUAUCAGAUGAGCCUAGGUCGGAUUAGCUAGUUGGUGGGGUAAAGGCCUACCAAGGCGACGAUCCGUAACUGGUCUGAGAGGAUGAUCAGUCACACUGGAACUGAGACACGGUCCAGACUCCUACGGGAGGCAGCAGUGGGGAAUAUUGGACAAUGGGCGAAAGCCUGAUCCAGCCAUGCCGCGUGUGUGAAGAAGGUCUUCGGAUUGUAAAGCACUUUAAGUUGGGAGGAAGGGCAGUAAGUUAAUACCUUGCUGUUUUGACGUUACCAACAGAAUAAGCACCGGCUAACUUCGUG
rnacentral:rRNA from 1 species